AAGAGACGUUGCCCUUCGGGGUAUACCUCCCACCCUUUGUUUAUUAUACCUUUGUUGCUUUGGCGGGCCCGUCCUCGGACCACCGGCUUCUGCUGGUCAGUGCCCGCCAGAGGACCUAAAACUCUGUUUGUUAAUGUUGUCUGAGUACUAUAUAAUAGUUA
rnacentral:misc_RNA from 1 species